rnacentral:rRNA from 1 species
GAGGAAUAUUGGUCAAUGGACGAGAGUCUGAACCAGCCAAGUAGCGUGAAGGAUGACUGCCCUAUGGGUUGUAAACUUCUUUUAUACGGGAAUAAAGUGAGGCACGUGUGCCUUUUUGUAUGUACCGUAUGAAUAAGGAUCGGCUAACUCCGUGCCAGCAGCCGCGGUAAUACGGAGGAUCCGAGCGUUAUCCGGAUUUAUUGGGUUUAAAGGGAGCGUAGGCGGACGCUUAAGUCAGUUGUGAAAGUUUGCGGCUCAACCGUAAAAUUGCAGUUGAUACUGGGUGUCUUGAGUACAGUAGAGGCAGGCGGAAUUCGUGGUGUAGCGGUGAAAUGCUUAGAUAUCACGAAGAACUCCGAUUGCGAAGGCAGCUUGCUGGACUGUAACUGACGCUGAUGCUCGAAAGUGUGGGUAUCAAACAGGAUUAGAUACCCUGGUAGUCCACACAGUAAACGAUGAAUACUCGCUGUUUGCGAUAUACAGUAAGCGGCCAAGCGAAAGCGUUAAGUAUUCCACCUGGGGAGUACGCCGGCAACGGUGAAACUCAAAGGAAUUGACGGGGGCCCGCACAAGCGGAGGAACAUGUGGUUUAAUUCGAUGAUACGCGAGGAACCUUACCCGGGCUUGAAUUGCAACUGAAUGAUGUGGAGACAUGUCAGCCGCAAGGCAGUUGUGAAGGUGCUGCAUGGUUGUCGUCAGCUCGUGCCGUGAGGUGUCGGCUUAAGUGCCAUAACGAGCGCAACCCUUAUCGAUAGUUACCAUCAGGUUAUGCUGGGGACUCUGUCGAGACUGCCGUCGUAAGAUGUGAGGAAGGUGGGGAUGACGUCAAAUCAGCACGGCCCUUACGUCCGGGGCUACACACGUGUUACAAUGGGGGGUACAGAAGGCAGCUACACGGCGACGUGAUGCUAAUCCCGAAAGCCUCUCUCAGUUCGGAUUGGAGUUUGCAACCCGACUCCAUGAAGCUGGAUUCGCUAGUAAUCGCGCAUCAGCCACGGCGCGGUGAAUACGUUCCCG